UACAGAGGUCUCAAGCGUUGUUCGGAUUCAUUGGGCGUAAAGGGUGCGUAGGCGGCGCGGUAAGUCGGGUGUGAAAUCUCGGAGCUUAACUCGGAACGGCCAACUGAUACUGCUGUGCUAGAGUGCAGAAGGGGCAAUCAGAAUUCUUGGUGUAGCGGUGAAAUGCGUAGAUAUCAAGAGGAAUACCUGAGGUGAAGACGGGUUGCUAGGCUGACACUGACGCUGAGGCGCGAAAGCCAGGGGAGCAAACGGG
rnacentral:rRNA from 1 species